UACAGAGGGUGCGAGCGUUGUCCGGAAUCACUGGGCGUAAAGGGCGCGUAGGCGGCUCGGUAAGCGUGCGGUGAAAGCCCGGGGCUCAACCCCGGGUCGGCCGUGCGAACUGCAGAGCUGGAGCACUGUAGAGGCAGGUGGAAUUCCGGGUGUAGCGGUGGAAUGCGUAGAGAUCCGGAAGAACACCGGUGGCGAAGGCGGCCUGCUGGGCAGUUGCUGACGCUGAGGCGCGACAGCGUGGGUAGCAAACAGG
rnacentral:rRNA from 1 species